rnacentral:lncRNA from 1 species
GCCAGGCAGAUAAGAAAACAGCCAUACCCAUCAGGCCCCCGACCCGGCGCCGCCAUAAAUAGACCCGGCCUCACCAUUUUAGUUCUCUCUGCGGAGUGGGCUCGUGGGUUGCUGGUAGAAGAGCUGUAAUGUUCUCCUACCGCGUGCUGCAGGCCCUGCUGUUGAGUGAGGGGGAGCGGGGGAUCCCAAUGGCCUGCCCUGCCUUUGCGCAGCAGCCAGCGGGCGGGUACGUCGCGGCCUGGCCGAGGGAGGAGAGCGCGGUCCCCAGUCGAGCUGGGUGAACCACCAUUGCACACUGUAGAGUUUCUGGUGCCUCUCCUUGGAACUCGGCUAGCGGCGCCACAGCCCCUGCUAACUAAUCGCGACAUCACAACUGAAUUGUAAGACGUUCAUCGCUGUGUUAUCCUUGAGUAAAGGUGAGUAUUAGGUGCGAGAGCCUUUUGAGUGCCUCUUGGGAAAGCUUUGUUCCGAAGCAGGCUUUCGUUCAUGGGGCAUUAUGCGCCUCCCUGCCCUUUUGUUUUUUUUUUUUUUUGAGACAGUCUGCUUGUCACCCUGGCUGGAGUGCAGUGGCAAGAACACAGUACUGCAGCCUCCGCCUCCCGGGUUCAGUCGAUUGUCGUGCCUCAGCUUCCCGACUAGCUGGGACUACAGGCCCGCCCCACCACACUCGGCUAAUGUUUGUAUUUUUAGUAGAAGGGGUUUCACCGUGUUGGUCAGGAUGGUCUCCAUCUCCUGACCUCGUGAGCCAUUGCGCCCUGCCACUUUUUUCUUUUUUGAGCUAUCCACGUACCACAGCUGGUGACCCUUGUAUUUGUUCUUGCUAUUUUGUUUUUGAGACUGUUUGCUCCGUCGCCCAGGCUGGAGCGCAACACCAGGAUCUCCCUGCAGCGUCCGCCGUCAGGGCUCGAGUGGUCUUUCCACCUCAGCCUCCUGGGACUACAGGCACGUGCUACCACCACGCCUGGCUAACUUUUAGUUUUUUUACAGAAACGGGCUUUUACCAUGUUGUCCAGGCUGGUAUCGACUCCUGGGCUCAAACAGUCCUCCUGCCUCUAUCUCCCAAAGUGCUGGAAUUACAGGGAAUGUGA